UUUAAAGCUUGAAGAAAUAUUUCUUUAUGUGUAAAAUAUGCUGUAUUUGUUUCUGACAUGUGAUGUGUUCAUUUUAAAGGUACGUUUCUCAUUUGCAGAUCAAAAUGCAAUGAGAAAGUCUCUACAGUCCUAACCGCACUAUACCGAAGCCUUCUCAGGUUUGGGGCUGUGAAUGCGGGCGUUGUGUGACCUUCUCGCUGCCUGCCAGGUCCACCAGGUACAGCUUCCCCGACAGCUUCAGCUCCGUCUCCACGUUCUCCUGCUUGAUGUUGAUCAGGAAGAUGCUGUGACUCCGAGAGCUGUGCUCGUUCAUGUCUGC